rnacentral:rRNA from 1 species
UACGUAGGGGGCAAGCGUUAUCCGGAUUUACUGGGUGUAAAGGGAGCGUAGACGGCAUGGCAAGCCAGAUGUGAAAGCCCGGGGCUCAACCCCGGGACUGCAUUUGGAACUGUCAGGCUAGAGUGUCGGAGAGGAAAGCGGAAUUCCUGGUGUAGCGGUGAAAUGCGUAGAUAUUAGGAGGAACACCAGUGGCGAAGGCGGCUUUCUGGACGAUGACUGACGUUGAGGCUCGAAAGCGUGGGGAGCAAACAGG